rnacentral:rRNA from 1 species
AAUAGCGUAUAUUAAAGUUGUUGCAGUUAAAAAGCUCGUAGUUGGACCUUGGACCUGGACAGGCGGUCCGCCUCACGGCGUGUACUGUCUUGCUGGGUCUUUCCUCUUGGUGAUCUGUUGUUUCGGCAGCAGGGAACCAGGACUUUUACUUUGAAAAAAUUAGAGUGUUCAAAGCAGGCUCGACGCCGGAAUAUAUUAGCAUGGAAUAAUAAAAUAGGACGUGCGGUUCUAUUUUGUUGGUUUUUGGAAUCGCCGUAAUGAUUAAUAGGGACAGUCGGGGGCAUUAGUACUCACAUGCUAGAGGUGAAAUUCUUGGAUUUUGUGAAGACUAACUUCUGCGAAAGCAUUUGCCAAGGAUGUUUUCAUUAA